rnacentral:rRNA from 1 species
AGUGAACGCUGGCGGCAGGCCUAACACAUGCAAGUCGAGCGGCAGCGGGUCCUUCGGGAUGCCGGCGAGCGGCGGACGGGUGAGGAAUGCAUCGGAAUCUGCCCUGUCGUGGGGGAUAACCUAGGGAAACUUAGGCUAAUACCGCAUACGACCCACGGGUGAAAGCGGGGGAUCGCAAGACCUCGCGCGAUAGGAUGAGCCGAUGUCCGAUUAGCUAGUUGGCGGGGUAAAGGCCCACCAAGGCGACGAUCGGUAGCUGGUCUGAGAGGGUGAUCAGCCACACUGGGACUGAGACACGGCCCAGACUCCUACGGGAGGCAGCAGUGGGGAAUAUUGGACAAUGGGCGCAAGCCUGAUCCAGCCAUGCCGCGUGGGUGAAGAAGGCCUUCGGGUUGUAAAGCCCUUUUGUCCGGGAAGAAAUCGUCUGGGCUAAUACCCCGGGCGGAUGACGGUACCGGAAGAAUAAGCACCGGCUAACUUCGUG